GCCUAUGAAUUUCUUGCAUACCUGAAAUAUAGCAAAAUGGAUUAGUUAUACGUAACAAAUGAUUGCAUAACUAUCCCAUAUAACUUCAAUUCCCAGUGCUCUACGAGACUAUGAAACAAAGUCAGGGGUGAGCGUAUCAACAUCAGAAUCCAGAAUAUUUUAGCACAAAAAUGAUUUCAGCAAUUCACCUUCACACUUGACCUAAUAUGGGCACUAACAGGUUAGUUCAUGGUCCAAAGCUAAACAAAUGCGAAUUGUUCAACACAACCAUAUUGGCUAACCAGUUUUACCACCUUCAUAAAUGGCUGUUCAUAAUGUUUUUUGCUAAAAGGGAGAUUGAAAAUAACUAAAUACAUUUACUGUUAUUUGAUUAAAGUAUUGCUUGAUUAGACUAGUCUAGUGUAAUGAUACUUUGAAACAUUCAAAAUUAUCGUCAUUUCUUUGCUUCACUUUCACCAAACAAAUUACAAUAUUUCAUCAGCCAAUAUAGCAUCUCAAAUGCUGCUUCUAAUAAGCCAAACACAUGUAUCAUUCAUAACUUAUACCACUGGCAAAUGCAGUACAAACCUAAAAUCAAAUAAUAUAAACACAUAAUUUUCUACUUCAUUUUUUUAUAUAACAAAUUCAAUUAUCCAUGCUCUGAAUUCAAAAACCCAAAUCAAUGCUUGCUAGGGAAAAAUAGUAGCCCAAAACCCACAUCAACCAUUGCAGCCUAAGGGAUUUUUGGUAUUAUUUUUGUUCUGUUUUUGUUGUCUAAUUUUCAAUUUUUAUUUUUUUGGAAAGCAAGUUGAUGAACCCAGGAAACCUAGGAUUACGGUUUUCUUGUGUUACAACUAGGGGCAUAAAUGAACCAAGCCGCUUGCAAGUUGUUCAAGGUUUGGCUUGAUAAAAGCUUGUCUCGGUUCAGCUUGUAUAGGAAACAAGCCAAGCUCGAGCUCGAAUUUUAGCAUGUUUAAUAAAUGAGCCGAGUUCGUGCUCGACUCGUUAACUGGCUCACUAUCUGGAGGCUAAUGAGCUAGCUCGUGGACAGACUCGUUCAUAAACUCGUGAGGUGACUUAUUUACAAAAACA
rnacentral:misc_RNA from 1 species